CGCUGGGCGCGGCUGGGCAGGCCGCUCGAAUUUGACCCGAGUGGGCCGCGAUCGGCGGAGGAUUUGGGGUACCCUUUGACCCAGGCGGGGCGCGAUCCGCCUAGGAUUUGGGGUCCCCUGGCGCCGAACCCUGAGUUGCCAGAUUUAGCAAGUAAAAGUACAGUUCUUCUAAAUUUGAAUUUCAGACAAGACAGGUUUUAGGGUUCGUCUCAUGUAAUGUUGAGAAGGAUUUCCCUCAUCUACCUUUCUUUGGGAGAUACGACUAAAACCAACAAAAGCCAACUUUGGUAAAUAAGAAGUUUAAACAAGUGCUUCUCUGUACAGCUCAUCCACUUCUUCAUCCGUAAACCGAUCCCCCAUGGUUGUCAGCAGCUCUCUCAAGUAAUCUUCCUGAAUGGUGCCUGGAGAAUAAAGAACAAGGGAUCAGAAUACAUACUAUUCUGAGGGUUAAUUACAAAGAAUAUCUAUACUCGACUAAGCAUGUUCUGUAUGUUACAAACUAUAAACAUGCAAAUAUAUGAACUACAGGGUGUCCACCUACUUAAAACAGCCUCAGCAGAGAAGUGCCUAGAAAAAUGCCUAGCUGCUUAGCAGCAUUGCUCCGCUCUAUCAUUUGCUCUAUCAUUCUGCCUCCACAUUCAGCUUCUGAUCUCUUGAUAAGAGAGACUAAACCUAUGCCUGAACAAAGUAAUAAAAAGUAUGGUUAAAGAA